UGUCACCAUGACCACUCAAUGUAGCUACUUGGAUUCUCAGUGUAGCCCUGUGAGGUAAACAAGAUUUGUCCAAAGGCAUUAUUAGUAAAUGGAAGAGCCAGGAUUCAAACCAAGGGCUUUCUUCUUCUAAAAUUACCCCUCUGUGUGGGAGCAGGACAGAGAUGAAGCUUGGCUGAGCAGCCAUUUCUCAGGAAGUCGUGAAGUGGAAACUCACCUUUGGAAAAUAAAUUCUGCAGAAAGAAACGAGGUGGAUCCUUGGAGCAGAAUAAUGAGAAUCUUUUAAUAAUCAGAAGGUUCAUCGUGGGAGUCGAUCCAUAGAUGCCUAACCCCUCUUCAAUUCAAUUCCUAGGAUGAACUCUGAGUCAAGGGCUUGGUCGAAGAGGCUGGGAAUGAAGAACUGGGGACUAUUCAGGAGAGGAGUACGGAGUGCCGCUAGGAAGAGAGGAGAAACAUUCUCCUAACAAGUCACCCUGAAGACCCUAGCAGGGAAAGGCAAUGGAUGUCUUCAGACCACGCCACAUCCUCUCCUAUCCACCCAUGGAACUCUUCUGGCUUGAGUGUUAGCUCAUCAGAACCUAUAGAUCUAGUCCCUGCAAAGAAAAUGGCUUGGGUGCCCCCUGCCCACGAUAACCCUCUGUGGGAUUCUGGCUUCAGGGAACACAAUUCCCACCCCAUCUGCUGAGCUGUAAGUCCCUCCGAGGGCAGGACCUAUGCCCAUCUUGCUCAUCUCUGGUCUUCAGCCCCUAACCCUCUGAAGGGCCCAGAAGAAGCCUCAAUGCACAUUUGCUGGAUACAUGGGUCCUUAGGGCUCUCUCCCGUCGCCCUCUAGCCUGCAUCAUACAUUCAAAUGUUUCCCUAUUAUCCCAACCCCUCCUCUUUACUGCUCUCCUCUGGCCUCCCAAGCCAACACAGAGAAAACAUUCGGACUUAUCAUCUUCUCCAUGUUUCUCUUCCUUCCACCCACAAUAUAGGAACAACAGAGAAAGAAA